rnacentral:rRNA from 1 species
CAAAAACAUAGCUACGUGAUAUUACCCGUAGUGCUUUCUGCUCAAUGAGUCUUAAAUAGCCGCAGUACCUUGACUGUGCAAAGGUAGCGAAAUCAUUUGUCUUCUAAUUAAAGUCUUGUAUCAACGAAUAUAUGGGGACCUACUGUACCGGCGAUAGCACUUGAAAUUGCUAAGGGCGUGCAAAUUCGCCCAACCACUUAAUAGACGAGAAGACCCUAGAAAUUUUGACACACGUUUUUGUUGGGGCAACAUAGUAACAGAGAACUUACUCUAUGUACAUGCAAACUUUUUGAUAGCAUAAAUUACUCUAGGGAUAACAGCAUAAUGCAUCAGCGUUUGUGACCUCGAUGUUGGAUUAGGAAGCUAUAACCUAGAAGGUGUUUAGACUUGCUCUGUUCGAG